rnacentral:rRNA from 1 species
GAGCCUACGGGGGGCUGCAGUGGGGAAUUUUGGACAAUGGGGGCAACCCUGAUCCAGCCAUGCCGCGUGCGGGAAGAAGGCCUUCGGGUUGUAAACCGCUUUUAGCCGGGAAGAAAAGGCGGGGGCUAACACCCCUCGUUCUUGACGGUACCGGCGGAAUAAGCACCGGCUAACUACGUGCCAGCAGCCGCGGUAAUACGUAGGGUGCGAGCGUUAAUCGGAAUUACUGGGCGUAAAGCGUGCGCAGGCGGUUCGUUAAGUCUGAUGUGAAAGCCCCGGGCUCAACCUGGGAACUGCAUUGGUGACUGCAAGGCUGGAGUGCGGCAGAGGGGGAUGGAAUUCCGCGUGUAGCAGUGAAAUGCGUAGAUAUGCGGAGGAACACCGAUGGCGAAGGCAAUCCCCUGGGCCUGCACUGACGCUCAUGCACGAAAGCGUGGGGAGCAAACAGGAUUAGAUACCCCAGUAGUC